UACGUAUGGGGCAAGCGUUAUCCGGAUUUACUGGGUGUAAAGGGAGCGUAGGUGGCAAGGCAAGUCAGAAGUGAAAGGCUGGGGCUCAACCCUGGGACUGCUUUUGAAACUGCCUAGCUAGAGUGCAGGAGAGGUAAGUGGAAUUCCUAGUGUAGCGGUGAAAUGCGUAGAUAUUAGGAGGAACACCAGUGGCGAAGGCGGCUUACUGGACUGUAACUGACACUGAGGCUCGAAAGCGUGGGGAGCAAACAGG
rnacentral:rRNA from 1 species